GACACGCUUGCGGCGUGCCUAAGAAAUGCAAGUCGAGCGAGGUUUAGGCUUCGGCCGACGACCUAGCGGCGAACGGUCGCGUAACACGUAAGCAACCUGCCCUAAAGUUGGGGAUAGCCCGCCGAAAGGCGGAUUAAUACCGAAUGUGGAUAUGUAUUCGCAUGUAUAUAUAUCUGAAGCAGCGAUGCGCUUUAGGAUGGGCUUGCGGCCUAUCAGUUAGUUGGUGUGGGUAACGGCCUACCAAGACGACGACGGGUAGCUGGUCUGAGAGGAUGGUCAGCCGGAUUGGGACUGAGACACGGCCCAGACUCCUACGGGGGGCAGCAAUUAGGAAUCUUGCGCAAUGGGCGAAAGCCUGACGCAGCGACGCCGCGUGACUGAUGAAGUCUUUCGAGAUGUAAAGGUCUUUUGUUGGGGACGAAGGAAGUGACGGUACCCGACGAAUAAGCCCCGGCUAACUACGUG
rnacentral:rRNA from 1 species